rnacentral:rRNA from 1 species
UCCUCUUGGGGGGGACGAAAGUUCACGAUUCCCAUGGAAUUUCCACCCUGUCUUUACCCCAAGAGAAAGCUCCGGCUAAAUAUCUGUCAGCAGCCGCGGUAAUACAUAAGGAGCAAGCGUUAUCGGGAAUUAUUGGGCGUAAAGAGCUCGUAGGCGGUCUUAAAAGUCAGGUGUGAAAUUAUCAGGCUCAACCUGAUAAGGUCAUCUGAAACUUUAAGACUUGAGGUUAGAAGAGGAAAGUGGAAUUCCCGGGGUAGCGGUGAAAUGCGUAGAUAUCGGGAGGAACACCAGUGGCGAAGGCGGCUUUCUGGUCUAUCUCCGACGCUGAGGAGCGAAAGCUCGGGGAGCAAACGGGAUUAGAUACCCCGGUAGUCC